rnacentral:sRNA from 1 species
UCAACUUGAUAUUCAGUCAUUUAUGGCAAUAUUUGGAUAUCUCCCAAUUCCGGAACGACCGAGAUGGCAGCAGAGAUUGGCCCAUCAAAACCGACGAUUAUCUUGGACUCUUCCGAGAACUGGAGCCUUUGGUACAAAAUAAUAUUUAGAUCUCGCAGUAGAAAACGAUAUAUUGGAGUUCAUCGAUGAUGAAAGCUCUGACCAGAUCGACCAACUACCCAUCUCCUCCGAGCAUCCCAACCGAAUAUACCCCAGAAGAAAUAAUUCAUGGAAGAUAGAACGUACUCAAUAUAGCGAUGAGAUGGUCAAAUAUCAGAAGAAGGUCAAUGGUGUCGGCAAGGUCAAGCGAGAGAUUCUGAGAACGGCAGCCGCCAGCGAGCGAAUAGCAACAACUGGAAGUCGACUUAUCGAUGCCAGAGUGUUUCUAAUUACUCUUAAAAAGAUAUUAUCCCCUAGGACAGCGGAUUGCCAGUAUGAGAUACGGUUAAAAUAUGAGAACCUUCGCAGAACGCCCAAAAGAAACCUAAAAGAGUGAUUAGAUGAUUGGACCCUGAUUGAGCAUGAGCUUAAGCAAUCAGGUAUAGACGGGAACUUUGAUCGAUGGAAGGACUUCUUCCAUGCUAAUAAAUCAAUCGAUCCUGUUCACAUUGCUUUUUGGAAACGUAAGAUUGCAAAGGAAGGAAAAGGGAGCUUUGCAGAUAUGAUCAAUGAGUUCCGUGGAUUGCUAAAACCUGGACCUGCUGUUGUCUAACCUUGCCACAUUAAAUGGUACGCAUGCAGGACACUCCAUUUCACAUAAAUAACCAAAGGCUAUCGUUGUAUGUAUUCACCAGGAGUAUCAUGAGGG